GCCAGCGUGGUUUAGUGGUUUGAGCAUUGGAUUAUGAUGCUGGAAAGCAGGGUUUGAAUCCCUGCUCAGCCA